AAGCAGAAUAGAGAAAGCCAUUUCAGUUAUGCAGAUUCUCUCUCAGUCUCAUCUUUUAGGGACUUUUCUCAGUAAUUGUCAUGACAACCACCACCGCUAUUCCUACAAGUUCUAGCGCACUUUAUUGAUUUUCUAUAUUCUAUCUAUUGUUGGUGUGCUAUUAUAUUCUAUCUACUGUUGUCCUUGAUUUGGCUAUCGGAAUAUGAGGAUGCUAAACUUACUCAUCAUGCAUUUUGGCUUCUAUACAGUAAAGUAUUUGAAAAGAUAAAUUAGGAUAUAUUCUUUCUGACUGCUAUCCCUGGUGUGCGUGCUGUAACUUAUGUGGGCUAUAGACGCGGCGUUAUAGAUCUAUGCAAUUAUAUUUACUUGCAUAUUCAAUUCAUAUCAGUAGUUUCUUUUGUCACUCCCCCAUGUAACUUCUCGGAAGUUAGUUCCGCAUUUCCUUUGUUACACAUUGACACGUCUGGAUGUACUAGCAAGCAAUAUCCAAGUCUGAGGUAAUUAAAGCUGCAACCGUGUCAAGGAUUUCAUCUUUACAGGUUGCCGGUCAGGAGGUUGAAGGUGAACAUGGAUCAUUGAUCCAUGUUUUCCUGGUUGACCUAGGGAGCGGGGAUGUCGUGCAAGAUCGUACACCAUCGGUCUUAAAGUUGACUGUUCCAGCACAACAUGGAGACCUCGAUGAAGUAGAAAAUGAUUAGGCAAGGGAGGACUUCGAAGUAAAUGAGACAAAUGCACGUCUCCCAGUUAUGACUGGUGAAUUGCAAGUGGCCCUUAAGAAUGGGAUGGGAACGUUGGGAGCUGUUAUAUUUAACUACGAGUCUAGGAUCGCAAGAAGUGGGAAGUUUAGGCUUGGAGUCAAAACUGAUACGAGGGACAAUGAAGGGGUUCAUAUUCUCGAGGGCAUAUCAAACGAAUUCAUAGUGGAGUGGAGUAUGUCGAGGAAAAAAGAAGACACGACGAUGGCGCUGCCGACCUGACAGGCCUUCCAGAAGAUCUGUCGCCAGAAAGUGAUAUGGACGAAUUGUCAGCCCGAAGGAGUCCUAGGCAGAACUUUGUCGAUAGUGAGGCAGAACUCGUUGAUCAGUUUUUACAGUCAACGUCCAAUGCUGAAGUCGAAUAAUAUAAGCAUGAGCAGAAGGACAGAGUCAAAUCGAGGCAGGCAACCCUGAGAUGGCUUAAAGCUGAAAACCAUUUUACAGUGGGCCAUCCUAAGGUGAAUCGUCGUGAGGAAGAGAGCACAAAGAAUGGCCGCACGGAGCCAAGCGCAGAAGCGAUUGAAGGUGUGAAUUGGACUGCCAAAGAACACGGACUUUUCCUAUUAGGUCUGCAGGAGCUCGGGAAGAAUGAUUGGGAAUGUAUCUGCAAGAAGUAUGUCUUUAUCUAAGACGCCUGCUCAAGUGGCAACCCAUGCUUAGAAGUACUUCCAGUAGAAUUUGAGAACUGAGAUCGAAAACGAGGUCAGUUAUUUAUUUUGUUGGAAUCGAUAGUUCGUUGAGAUCGAUUUGUAAGGAUCGAAAGGAAUCUAACUCAUAAUAAUCUCGACGAAACAAUUGAAAUGAGAUGAGGGAAGAGAAGCUUGCAUACUCGUGUACGUGGUUCGGGCCGGCAGUGUCCUAGCCGUACGUCCACGGGCAAAGGAGGCUUUGCCGGUUCUUCUUUUACUAUGGGCAAUAAAGUCGUGGAGUAUUUCCCAAAGCUCCGAUUACAAUGUU